rnacentral:rRNA from 1 species
AACGAACGCUGGCGGCAGGCCUAACACAUGCAAGUCGAGCGAAGCCUUCGGGCUUAGCGGCGGACGGGUGAGUAACGCGUGGGAACGUGCCCUUUGCUACGGAAUAGCCCCGGGAAACUGGGAGUAAUACCGUAUGUGCCCUUCGGGGGAAAGAUUUAUCGGCAAAGGAUCGGCCCGCGUUGGAUUAGGUAGUUGGUGGGGUAAUGGCCUACCAAGCCGACGAUCCAUAGCUGGUUUGAGAGGAUGAUCAGCCACACUGGGACUGAGACACGGCCCAGACUCCUACGGGAGGCAGCAGUGGGGAAUCUUAGACAAUGGGGGAAACCCUGAUCUAGCCAUGCCGCGUGAUCGAUGAAGGCCUUAGGGUUGUAAAGAUCUUUCAGUGGGGAAGAUAAUGACUGUACCGGAGGAAUAAGCCCCGGCUAACUUCGUGCCAGCCGCCGCCGUAA